rnacentral:misc_RNA from 1 species
UCAAACUUGGUCAUUUAGAGGAAGUAAAAGUCGUAACAAGGUUUCCGUAGGUGAACCUGCGGAAGGAUCAUUAUUGAAUAUGCUUGAUAGGUUGUAGCUGACUCUCCGGAGUAUGUGCACGCUUAUCUUGACUUAAUUCAUCCACCUGUGCACCUUUUGUAGUCUUGGGGGUUGAGAUCAGUCGACUAUCGGACAUUCCGGAUGUGAGGAUUGCUGAGUGCGCAAGCAUACAGCUCUUCUCAAAUGACUUGUCUUCCUCGAGUGCUAUGUAUUCAUAUACUAGUAUGUUGUAGAAUGUGAUCAAUGGGUCUAUGUACCUAUAAUAAUCAUAUACAACUUUCAGCAACGGAUCUCUUGGCUCUCGCAUCGAUGAAGAACGCAGC